CAGGCUCAAACCUGUUCCUUGCUGCUUCCACCUCCAUUCCUUUGCUGCCCACCAAGGCCACACAGGACCCAGAGGUUCUGUCGAUUGUUUGGCAGUGAUCCACAGGUUCUGGGACACCCUCUGUGCCUUCGCUCUCACGAAAUGCCUGUCCCUCUGCUUGGUUGAGGCCUGCUCCCAACCUGGUCCAGGCACCCAGCCUGCCAGAGCACCUUCCUCGGAUGCCUGCAUCUUAGCCUCGCUCCUUGUUGAUCUUGUGAUGCCAUAGAUUGGUGAGAUCGACAGCAUUUCAGAACUAUUGAAACCACUUGGACAGAACCUUCGGAGCAUGCACCACAUUGGAGACCCUGGGUUGUGACCAGGUUGUCGUUCCCUAUCCCUGGGGUCUGGAGUGGUUGGGAGGCUGGCUAUGACUUCUCCACUUCUCUCCCUCCUUCCCCAAGAUACAGGAAGAAGAAAUAGAAAAUUUGAAAACAAUGAUCACACCCAAUUUAUCCUAACCC